rnacentral:lncRNA from 1 species
UUCUCAGGUGUUCUGGGGAAUGGGUGUGCUGGAUGAAGCUGGAGGCUGGAAAGAAUGGAAUGAAGACUGAAACUCCAGAGCUGG